ACUAAGCGUACACGGUGGAUGCCCUGGCAGUCAGAGGCGAUGAAGGACGUGCUAAUCUGCGAUAAGCGUCGGUAAGGUGAUAUGAACCGUUAUAACCGGCGAUUUCCGAAUGGGGAAACCCAGUGUGUUUCGACACACUAUCAUUAACUGAAUCCAUAGGUUAAUGAGGCGAACCGGGGGAACUGAAACAUCUAAGUACCCCGAGGAAAAGAAAUCAACCGAGAUUCCCCCAGUAGCGGCGAGCGAACGGGGAGCAGCCCAGAGCCUGAAUCAGUGUGUGUGUUAGUGGAAGCGUCUGGAAAGGCGCGCGAUACAGGGUGACAGCCCCGUACACAAAAAUGCACAUACUGUGAGCUCGAUGAGUAGGGCGGGACACGUGGUAUCCUGUCUGAAUAUGGGGGGACCAUCCUCCAAGGCUAAAUACUCCUGACUGACCGAUAGUGAACCAGUACCGUGAGGGAAAGGCGAAAAGAACCCCGGCGAGGGGAGUGAAAAAGAACCUGAAACCGUGUACGUACAAGCAGUGGGAGCACGCUUCGGCGUGUGACUGCGUACCUUUUGUAUAAUGGGUCAGCGACUUAUAUUCUGUAGCAAGGUUAACCGAAUAGGGGAGCCGAAGGGAAACCGAGUCUUAACUGGGCGUUAAGUUGCAGGGUAUAGACCCGAAACCCGGUGAUCUAGCCAUGGGCAGGUUGAAGGUUGGGUAACACUAACUGGAGGACCGAACCGACUAAUGUUGAAAAAUUAGCGGAUGACUUGUGGCUGGGGGUGAAAGGCCAAUCAAACCGGGAGAUAGCUGGUUCUCCCCGAAAGCUAUUUAGGUAGCGCCUCGUGAAUUCAUCUCCGGGGGUAGAGCACUGUUUCGGCAAGGGGGUCAUCCCGACUUACCAACCCGAUGCAAACUGCGAAUACCGGAGAAUGUUAUCACGGGAGACACACGGCGGGUGCUAACGUCCGUCGUGAAGAGGGAAACAACCCAGACCGCCAGCUAAGGUCCCAAAGUCAUGGUUAAGUGGGAAACGAUGUGGGAAGGCCCAGACAGCCAGGAUGUUGGCUUAGAAGCAGCCAUCAUUUAAAGAAAGCGUAAUAGCUCACUGGUCGAGUCGGCCUGCGCGGAAGAUGUAACGGGGCUAAACCAUGCACCGAAGCUGCGGCAGCGACACUAUGUGUUGUUGGGUAGGGGAGCGUUCUGUAAGCCUGUGAAGGUGGCCUGUGAGGGUUGCUGGAGGUAUCAGAAGUGCGAAUGCUGACAUAAGUAACGAUAAAGCGGGUGAAAAGCCCGCUCGCCGGAAGACCAAGGGUUCCUGUCCAACGUUAAUCGGGGCAGGGUGAGUCGACCCCUAAGGCGAGGCCGAAAGGCGUAGUCGAUGGGAAACAGGUUAAUAUUCCUGUACUUGGUGUUACUGCGAAGGGGGGACGGAGAAGGCUAUGUUGGCCGGGCGACGGUUGUCCCGGUUUAAGCGUGUAGGCUGGUUUUCCAGGCAAAUCCGGAAAAUCAAGGCUGAGGCGUGAUGACGAGGCACUACGGUGCUGAAGCAACAAAUGCCCUGCUUCCAGGAAAAGCCUCUAAGCAUCAGGUAACAUCAAAUCGUACCCCAAACCGACACAGGUGGUCAGGUAGAGAAUACCAAGGCGCUUGAGAGAACUCGGGUGAAGGAACUAGGCAAAAUGGUGCCGUAACUUCGGGAGAAGGCACGCUGAUACGUAGGUGAAGUCCCUUGCGGAUGGAGCUGAAAUCAGUCGAAGAUACCAGCUGGCUGCAACUGUUUAUUAAAAACACAGCACUGUGCAAACACGAAAGUGGACGUAUACGGUGUGACGCCUGCCCGGUGCCGGAAGGUUAAUUGAUGGGGUUAGCGGUAACGCGAAGCUCUUGAUCGAAGCCCCGGUAAACGGCGGCCGUAACUAUAACGGUCCUAAGGUAGCGAAAUUCCUUGUCGGGUAAGUUCCGACCUGCACGAAUGGCGUAAUGAUGGCCAGGCUGUCUCCACCCGAGACUCAGUGAAAUUGAACUCGCUGUGAAGAUGCAGUGUACCCGCGGCAAGACGGAAAGACCCCGUGAACCUUUACUAUAGCUUGACACUGAACAUUGAGCCUUGAUGUGUAGGAUAGGUGGGAGGCUUUGAAGUGUGGACGCCAGUCUGCAUGGAGCCGACCUUGAAAUACCACCCUUUAAUGUUUGAUGUUCUAACGUUGGCCCCUGAUCGGGGUUGCGGACAGUGUCUGGUGGGUAGUUUGACUGGGGCGGUCUCCUCCUAAAGAGUAACGGAGGAGCACGAAGGUUGGCUAAUCCUGGUCGGACAUCAGGAGGUUAGUGCAAUGGCAUAAGCCAGCUUGACUGCGAGCGUGACGGCGCGAGCAGGUGCGAAAGCAGGUCAUAGUGAUCCGGUGGUUCUGAAUGGAAGGGCCAUCGCUCAACGGAUAAAAGGUACUCCGGGGAUAACAGGCUGAUACCGCCCAAGAGUUCAUAUCGACGGCGGUGUUUGGCACCUCGAUGUCGGCUCAUCACAUCCUGGGGCUGAAGUAGGUCCCAAGGGUAUGGCUGUUCGCCAUUUAAAGUGGUACGCGAGCUGGGUUUAGAACGUCGUGAGACAGUUCGGUCCCUAUCUGCCGUGGGCGCUGGAGAACUGAGGGGGGCUGCUCCUAGUACGAGAGGACCGGAGUGGACGCAUCACUGGUGUUCGGGUUGUCAUGCCAAUGGCACUGCCCGGUAGCUAAAUGCGGAAGAGAUAAGUGCUGAAAGCAUCUAAGCACGAAACUUGCCCCGAGAUGAGUUCUCCCUGACUCCUUGAGAGUCCUGAAGGAACGUUGAAGACGACGACGUUGAUAGGCCGGGUGUGUAAGCGCAGCGAUGCGUUGAGCUAACCGGUACUAAUGAACCGUGAGGCUUAACC
rnacentral:rRNA from 1 species